AAUAGAUACCCUGGUAGUCCACCCCGUAAACGUUGGGAACUAGUUGUGGGGUCCAUUCCACGGAUUCCGUGACGCAGCUAACGCAUUAAGUUCCCCGCCUGGGGAGUACGGCCGCAAGGCUAAAACUCAAAGGAAUUGACGGGGACCCGCACAAGCGGCGGAGCAUGCGGAUUAAUUCGAUGCAACGCGAAGAACCUUACCAAGGCUUGACAUAUACGAGAACGGGCCGGAAAUGGUCAACUCUUUGGACACUCGUAAACAGGUGGUGCAUGGUUGUCGUCAGCUCGUGUCGUGAGAUGUUGGGUUAAGUCCCGCAACGAGCGCAACCCUCGUUCUAUGUUGCCAGCACGUAAUGGUGGGAACUCAUGGGAUACUGCCGGGGUCAACUCGGAGGAAGGUGGGGAUGACGUCAAAUCAUCAUGCCCCUUAUGUCUUGGGCUUCACGCAUGCUACAAUGGCCGGUACAAAGGGCUGCAAUACCGCGAGGUGGAGCGAAUCCCAAAAAGCCGGUCCAGUUCGGAUUGAGGUCUGCAACUCGACCUCA
rnacentral:rRNA from 1 species